CUGAGUGUAGAUGGCAACCCCUUUUUACGUUUUUCUCUAGCUUCCCUUCAAUUUGUUUCUCUUCAAGUUCACCAAAACACAAAUUUAUCAAAGGCUAGAUCAGGCCUUAUUCUUGAGGAAUUGUGAGGAAAUUUAAUCUUGCAACAAGGAUUAGAAGUUGUUGGAGUCUCCAUAACCAGCUAGGAUUUCAAAAAUUCAGUAAGAAUAUUAUUUGGGGAAGAGAUCUUCUCAAACGUGGUCUCAUAUGGAAAAUUGGCAAUGGUCUCUCGGUUAACACUCUCCAAAACUAUUGGUUUCCAAGCUUCAGGUUUAUCACAUCAAACUCUACUAAUUGCUCAUCUUUAAAGGUAUCUGACCUCAUUAUUGCUUCAGGCACUUGGGACACUGGUAAGCUUAAUUGCUUUUUCUCUAAAGAUGUUGUCCAAGCCAUACUACAGAUUCCUUUAACUUCUUUAGAUAAGCCUGAUUGUUUGGUUUGGAGUCUCACUUCUUCUGGGGUGUUUACUAUAAAUCCUGCCUAUCAUCUUGCUAAAUCAGCUAGCUCUAAUCCUUCCCGACAACACUCAGCCAAUAAAGCAUUGGUGGUCUCAUCUCUGGAAAUCAAAAGUACCACCCAAAGUUAAAAAAAUUAUUUGGCCUACAUAUAGCCAUUUAAUACCAUGUGCUUUAAACUUGGUUUUAAAGAAAGUUAUUCACGACCCCUCAUGUUCUUUUUGUGGUGCUAGUAAGGAAUCAGUUUCUCAUGCUCUUUUGUAUUGUUCCUAGGCUCGGCAGGUUUGGAAAAUUUUAGAUAUUUCUUCUUUUUAUAAAUCCUACAAUUGCAGGGAUAUCACUGAUUUUAUUUUGUAGGCUUUUGAAACUCUGAAUAAUGAUAUGUUUGAAUCUUGUAUUUGUCUGAUUUGGGCCAUUUGGAACAAUGGAAACUCAAAGCUAUUUGAGAAGCCAUCUCUCCCUCCAAAGGAAUUGUAUAAUUGGACAAUUUUUUUUACAGGAAUAUAAAUCAGCUCAGCAAAGUCGAAUUGAAUCCCAUAGGGAUACAAGAUCUAAUAGCAGGAUAACUUGGUCACCUCCAAUUUCGGGAUGCCUAAAAUUGAAUGUUGAUGCUGUUGUGACUCAAGAGCUAAUAAACUUGGAUAUGGAGCACUCGUUCGAGAUGACAAGGGACAAGUGAUGGCUGGAUUAAUAAUUCCUGCAAUGGGUAAAUUUAACUCUAUGAUUUCUGAAGGCCAAGCUUUGCUUAGUGCUCUUAGCUGGUGUAAAGCAGUUUCCUUCCAGUUACUUUCAUUGAAUCAAAUUCUCAAAUUGUAGCUAACAAAGUAACUUCCUCUUAUGAGAUAUUUCUCCAUUCUCUGACAUUGGAAGAGAAAUUAGACAUUCA